AUGCCUAAUUCUUGCUCCGUGGAGCAUUCUGAAAGAGCGGAACAGCAGUGGUCGACGACCCUAGUACCUUCUUUUGAGAAGAUCAAGAGGGCCUUUCUUUGGGCAGGUUCAGACAAGAUUUCUGAUGGCUUGAGGGUUCUCAACCUCCAAAAUAUGCCAGAGCUUUGGUUAACUUGGGCAAGUCUUGCAAUAACACUGGCAUGGAUCUCUUAUAUGCAGCCACCACCAUCAACUGCAUGGCUUUCUUAUCGAGCAUCGACAUCUCCAAGAGAUAGAUUCUUAUCGAAUAAUCACCACAAGCAGCAUUAG
rnacentral:rRNA from 1 species